AUUGAACGCUGGCGGGAGGCCUUACACAUGCAAGUCGAACGAGUGGCGGACGGGUGAGUAAUAUAUGGGAACCUGCCUGAUGGAGGGGGAUAACUACUGGAAACGGUAGCUAAUACCGCAUACCAUCGGAUCUGCCCAGAUGGGAUUAGCUAGUAGGUGGGGUAAAGGCUCACCUAGGCGACGAUCCGUAGCUGGUUUGAGAGGAUGACCAGCCACACUGGAACUGAGACACGGCCCAGACUCCUACGGGAGGCAGCAGUGGGGAAUAUUGCACAAUGGGCGAAAGCCUGAUGCAGCCAUGCCGCGUGUAUGAAGAAGGCCUUCGGGUUGUAAAGUACUUUCAGCGGGGAGGCGGUACCCGCAGAAGAAGCACCGGCUAACUCCGUGCCAGCAGCCGCGGUAAUUC
rnacentral:rRNA from 1 species